UUUCCGUAGGUGAACCUGCGGAAGGAUCAUUCAUAAUUGAGUGUUUUAUGGCACUCUUUAAAAAAUCCAUAUCCACCUUGUGUGCAACGUUUUUAGACACCCUAGCAUUGAUAUCUCUUUUAGAGAAGGAAAGCUAGGAUGUUUGAUUAACUUAACUCAACUCCUUUAAAGCAGUUUGUCUGAAUAUCUAUUUCUGAAUAACAUAAUUCAAAGAUACAACUUUCAACAACGGAUCUCUUGGCUCUCGCAUCGAUGAAAAACGCAGC
rnacentral:misc_RNA from 1 species